GGUAUAUGAUUAUUAGAGACGGCGGGACCGGGGGGAUGGUGUUGCUGGGGGAGCGGGAUUGUGAUGCGUGCCUCUGUGGCUAUAUACGUGCGUCUGGCCCCGGGGUCUUGGAUGGGGACCCGACGCCCUGCCUUGGAGCUGCUGUGCAUAGAUUGGCAUCGCACCCGCAGUUUCCCCGGCGGUGGAGGCGUGGAGAGGUGCAGGCGCCGGCGUGCCCCAGGCUUUUCGCCUGCCUUGGGAUGCAUGGGCGCCCGGUCGAGCCGUGACCCAUAGUUGAGGGGUGUGGUGCCCCGACCUAUCAUCUGGAGAGGGCCGUUGCUAGCUGGAGCAUGGCGGUGUUGGGCCGGAUGGAGAAUUCUGCCACCACCACCAACGAAGUUUUGCGCAGAAUGGGAAUGAUUGCCUGGCGGUCC
rnacentral:lncRNA from 1 species